rnacentral:snRNA from 1 species
AUACUUACCUAGCAGGGGUGAUGAUACCAUGAUCAUGAAGGUGGUUUUCCCAGGGUGAGGCUUAUCCAAUGCACUCCAGAUGUGCUGACCCCUGAGAUUUCCCCAAAUGUGAGAAAUUCAACUGCAUAAUUUGUGGUAGUGGGGGACUGUGUUAGCACUUUCCCCUG